rnacentral:rRNA from 2 species
CCCCCACUGCUAUCGGGAUAGGACUAAGACAUGCUAGUCGAGUGACUCAGGCAAAACGAGUCACGGCACACAGCUCAGUAACACGUGGCUAAUCUGCCCUUGGGACAAGAACAACCCCGGGAAACUGGGGCUAACUCUUGAUAGGCGAAGAACACUGGAAUGUGUCUUCACCCAAAAAACUUCACGUUAUCCUCGUGAAGUCGCCCAAGGAUGAGGCCGCGACCGAUCAGGUUGUUGGCGAGGUAAUGGCUCACCAAGCCUUUUACCGGUGCGGGCCGUGGGAGCGGGAGCCCGGAGAUGGGUACUGAGACAAGGACCCAGGCCCUACGGGGCGCAGCAGUCGCGAAAACUUUGCAAUAAGCGAAAGCUUGACAGGGCUAUCCCGAGUGCCAUCCGCUGAGGAAGGCUUUUACCCAGUCUAGAACGCUGGGGGAAUAAGGAGAGGGCAAGUCUGGUGUCAGCCGCCGCGGUAAUACCAGCUCUCCGAGUGGUGUGGAUGUUUAUUGGGCCUAAAGCAUCCGUAGCUGGCUAAGUUAGUCCCUUGUUAAAUCCACCGAAUUAAUCGUUGGAUUGCGGGGGAUACUGCUUGGCUAGGGGACGAGAGAGGCAGACGGUAUUUUCGGGGUAGGGGUGAAAUCCUAUAAUCCCGGGAAGACCACCAGUGGCGAAGGCUGUCUGCUAGAACGCGCCCGACGGUGAGGGAUGAAAGCUGGGGGAGCGAACCGGAUUAGAUACCCGGGUAGUCCCAGCUGUAAACGAUGCAGGCUAGGUGUUUGGACGGCCACGUGCCGUUCUAGUGCCGCAGGGAAGCUGUUAAGCCUGCCGCCUGGGGAGUACGAUCGCAAGAUUGAAACUUAA